rnacentral:rRNA from 1 species
AUUGAACGCUGGCGGCAGGCCUAACACAUGCAAGUCGAGCGAGAAAGGUCUUCGGACUGAGUACAGCGGCGGACGGGUGAGUAAUGCGCAGGAAUCUACCUGGUAGUGGGGGAUAACUCGGGGGAAACUCGAACUAAUACCGCAUACGCCCUACGGGGAAGACGGGGACCGUUCGGGCCUCGCGCUAUCAGAUGAGCCUGCGUAGGAUUAGCUUGUUGGUGAGGUAAAGGACUCACCAAGGCGACGAUCCUUAGCUGGUCUGAGAGGAUGAUCAGCCACACUGGAACUGAGACACGGUCCAGACUCCUACGGGAGGCAGCAGUGGGGAAUAUUGCGCAAUGGGCGAAAGCCUGACGCAGCCAUGCCGCGUGUGUGAAGAAGGCCCUUGGGUUGUAAAG